AUUGAACGCUGGCGGCAGGCCUAACACAUGCAAGUCGAACGGUAACAGGAAGAAGCUUGCUUCUUUGCUGACGAGUGGCGGACGGGUGAGUAAUGUCUGGGAAACUGCCUGAUGGAGGGGGAUAACUACUGGAAACGGUAGCUAAUACCGCAUAACGUCGCAAGACCAAAGAGGGGGACCUUCGGGCCUCUUGCCAUCAGAUGUGCCCAGAUGGGAUCAGCUAGUAGGUGGGGUAACGGCUCACCUAGGCGACGAUCCCUAGCUGGUCUGAGAGGAUGACCAGCCACACUGGAACUGAGACACGGUCCAGACUCCUACGGGAGGCAGCAGUGGGGAAUAUUGCACAAUGGGCGCAAGCCUGAUGCAGCCAUGCCGCGUGUAUGAAGAAGGCCUUCGGGUUGUAAAGUACUUUCAGCGGGGAGGAAGGGAGUAAAGUUAAUACCUUUGCUCAUUGACGUUACCCGCAGAAGAAGCACCGGCUAACUCCGUGCCAGCCGCCGCCGUAA
rnacentral:rRNA from 1 species